rnacentral:rRNA from 1 species
GCUUGCACCGAGCGGAUGAGUUGCGAACGGGUGAGUAACGCGUAGGUAACCUGCCUCUUAGCGGGGGAUAACUAUUGGAAACGAUAGCUAAUACCGCAUAAAAGUCGACAUUGCAUGAUGUUGACUUGAAAGGUGCAAUUGCAUCACUAAGAGAUGGACCUGCGUUGUAUUAGCUAGUUGGUGAGGUAACGGCUCACCAAGGCGACGAUACAUAGCCGACCUGAGAGGGUGAUCGGCCACACUGGGACUGAGACACGGCCCAGACUCCUACGGGAGGCAGCAGUAGGGAAUCUUCGGCAAUGGGGGCAACCCUGACCGAGCAACGCCGCGUGAGUGAAGAAGGUUUUCGGAUCGUAAAGCUCUGUUGUAAGAGAAGAACGAGUGUGAGAGUGGAAAGUUCACACUGUGACGGUAACUUACCAGAAAGGGACGGCUAACUACGUGCCAGCAGCCGCGGUAAUACGUAGGUCCCGAGCGUUAUCCGGAUUUAUUGGGCGUAAAGCGAGCGCAGGCGGUUAGAUAAGUCUGAAGUUAAAGGCUGUGGCUUAACCAUAGUACGCUUUGGAAACUGUUUAACUUGAGUGCAGAAGGGGAGAG